GACGAACGCUGGCGGCGUGCUUAACACAUGCAAGUCGAACGGAAAGGCCCUGCUUGCAGGGUACUCGAGUGGCGAACGGGUGAGUAACACGUGGGUGAUCUGCCCUGCACUUCGGGAUAAGCCUGGGAAACUGGGUCUAAUACCGGAUAGGAGCCAUUUUUAGUGGGAUGGUUGGAAAGUUUUUUCGGUGUAGGAUGAGCUCGCGGCCUAUCAGCUUGUUGGUGGGGUAAUGGCCUACCAAGGCGGCGACGGGUAGCCGGCCUGAGUGGGUGGACGGCGACAUUGGGACUGAGAGACGGCCCAGACUCCUACGGGAGGCAGCAGUGGGGAAUAUUGCACAAUGGGCGCAAGCCUGAUGCAGCGACGCCGCGUGGGGGAUGACGGCCUUCGGGUUGUAAACUCAUUUCGCUAGGGACGAAGCUUUUUGUGACGGUACCUAGAUAAGAAGCACCGGCUAACUACGUG
rnacentral:rRNA from 1 species